UACGUAGGGUGCGAGCGUUAAUCGGAAUUACUGGGCGUAAAGCGUGCGCAGGCGGUUCGUUGUGUCGGUGGUGAAAGCCCCGGGCUUAACCUGGGAAUGGCCAUGGAAACUGGCGAACUGGAGUGUGGCAGAGGGGGGUGGAAUUCCGCGUGUAGCAGUGAAAUGCGUAGAGAUGCGGAGGAACACCGAUGGCGAAGGCGGCCCCCUGGGCCGGCCCUGACGCUGAGACACGAAAGCCAGGGGAGCGAACGGG
rnacentral:rRNA from 1 species